rnacentral:rRNA from 1 species
UACGAAGGGUACAAGCGUUGUUCGGAAUUACUGGGCGUAAAGCGCGCGUAGGCGGACGAGUCAGUCGAUUGUGAAAUCCCUGGGCUUAACCUGGGAACUGCAGUCGAUACUGCUUGUCUUGAGUGCCUGAGAGGAUGGCGGAAUUCCCGGUGUAGUAGUGAAAUACGUAGAUAUCGGGAAGAACACCGGUGGCGAAGGCGGCUCUCUGGACCGUAACUGACGCUGAGGCGCGAAAGCGUGGGGAGCAAACAGGG